GAUGAACGCUGGCGGCGUGCCUAAUACAUGCAAGUCGAGCGAACAGACAAGGAGCUUGCUCCUUUGACGUUAGCGGCGGACGGGUGAGUAACACGUGGGUAACCUACCUAUAAGACUGGGAUAACUUCGGGACACCGGAGCUAAUACCGGAUAAUAUUUCGAACCGCAUGGUUCGAUAGUGAAAGAUGGUUUUGCUAUCACUUAUAGAUGGACCCGCGACGUAUUAGCUAGUUGGUAAGGUAACGGCUUACCAAGGCGAAGAUACGUAGCCGACCUGAGAGGGUAAUCGGCCACACUGGAACUGAGACACGGUCCAGACUCCUACGGGAGGCAGCAGUAGGGAAUCUUCCGCAAUGGGCGAAAGCCUGACGGAGCAACGCCGCGUGAGUGAUGAAGGUCUUCGGAUCGUAAAACUCUGUUAUUAGGGAAGAACAUACGUGUAAGUAACUAUGCACGUCUUGACGGUACCUAAUCAGAAAGCCACGGCUAACUACGUGCCAGCCGCCGCAGUAAGAC
rnacentral:rRNA from 1 species